AUACGGAGGAUGCAAGCGUUAUCCGGAUUUAUUGGGUUUAAAGGGUGCGUAGGCUGACGUGUAAGUCAGAGGUGAAAUCUCUGGGCUCAACCCGGAAACUGCUUUUGAAACUGUCGCCCUUGAGUAUCGGAGAGGCAGGGGGGAUUUCUAGAGGAGCGGUGAAAAGCGUAGAUAUUAGGAGGAAAACCAGUGGCGAAGGCGGCCUGCUGGACGACAACUGACGCUGAGGCGCGAAAGCGUGGGGAGCAAACAGGAUUAGAUACCCUGGUAGUCCACGCCGUAAACGAUGGAUACUAGGUGUGGGGGAACUGACCCCCUCCGUGCCGCAGUAAACACAAUAAGUAUCCCACCUGGGGAGUACGACCGCAAGGUUGAAACUCAAAGGAAUUGACGGGG
rnacentral:rRNA from 1 species